AUGGAUAUACAACCACAAGUGCUAUGUUGGAAUGUCCGGGGUCUCAACAACCCGGCCAAGAGGAAGGCGGUUAGGGAGUUUGUUAGCUCGGUUAGGGUGAACUUGGUGUGCUUCCAAGAGACCAAGCUGGAUGUACUGGAUCAAUUUUUAGUUAUGCAAUGUCUUGGGCCAUCGUUUGAUGGUCAUGUGUAUUUGCCGGCCGUGGAGACUAGGGGAGGUAUUUUGUUGGCUUGGGAUAGUAUGGUGCUCAUGGUGGAUAGCUUCGCGCUAGACACCUAUUUUCUCACGGGCAUGGUGCAUACUAAGGUGGGAGAUCCAUGGUGGAUCUCGGUGGUGUAUGGUCCGCAAGAGGUGGAGGCCAAAUGCUAA
rnacentral:rRNA from 1 species